UAUUUCUAUUAAGAAAUUGUUAUUUAUAUAAAAAGUACAUUUAGAAAUAAUGUACAAUAUAUUAACAAUCAUACGAUUUAAAUAACUAUACUUAAAAUAUAUUAAAUAUUUUUGAAAUAUGUUAUAUUUUGUAAUACUAUUAUCGUUUUAAUAUUAAAUCGUAAUUACAUACAAUAUCGAUAAUAAAAAUUAGAAACACAUUACUCGAUUAAACAUUGAUUUUAUAUAUUAUAACUGAUUUAUAAUAUAGAUAUUAAUUGAAAAUCACACAUAGUUUUUGCUCGAGCGAAUAAAUCCAUCCUUUUGAAUGUUUAUGUACAUGAUUUAUAGUAUAUAUAAUGGACAAAUUCAUUACAAUAGAUUCUAUAAUGCAUGUGUUUGCAAUGACUUGCAAAUAAACUGCAAGUUAAUAAUUAUAAAUUAUAUAAUUAUAAGAUAAUUAAGCGAAUCAUAUGAGACAAAAUAUACAUACGUGACCAUAAAUUUAACACAUUGUUUGUUUAUGAUUUACGUAAUACUUUAUUUUAUUUACUUUUAAUUUUUAUGAUUUAAAUUAUUUUAUAUUUCAGUUUAAAAUUUGAAUUUUAAUUUAAUUAUUUGUCAUAAUAAAAUGUUAACCAUUAUGCUAAUUCUAAAAUAGAAUUUCAUCUUAAACAUACACAAGCUUGAUGGAAAGUAUUUGAAAUUAAUCGCGAAAUUUCUCAUAAUGACGAAUGUAUAUCAUUAAUCAAAAAAAGAGAGUUAUUUUACAUUUGAUCAUAAGUACAUAAUUCUGCGACAAUUUAUUAUCAUAUGGUUUUUCGAAUGAUCAUUAAACGUGUCUCUGAAAAUGUGAAUCGUCCUAAGAUGAAAACGUUUCAGGAAAAAUUAAAUCGUACGCUCGUUUGCACUUCUAUAUGCUCGGUCAUUUAUCGACUAGAAAAUCAAGAAUGAAAAACAUCCUUCUAUCUAAAUUUUCAUUGAUGAUAAUGCGUUUUCUAAAAUUAAAAAACGCAGUGAGCAAUUUUCGUAAGAAAUUUCUCGAAGAAUUGUAUUUAUCGAGAAAUCUAGUGCAAUCAUGCGAUCGCAGGGCCCUAAGAUGAAUUAGGUUCGGACCUGGAAGAUGCGGGCCCGAAGUCCGUUGCAGGUUCUUUUCCAUCGAAUGCCUUUCUUUGUGCGGAAUUCAAUUUAAGUUCUAUUCACACAGAAUUCGACUGUGCUAUUUUUCGUACUAGCGUUUUUACAUAAUUUUAUCUUUCCAACUUUUUUUGCAAUAAACGUUUCAUUCAUUUAUCAUAGAAUUUUUAUUUCAUUUCGAAUUAAUCAUUUUUCAAAAAAUUUGAUUUAACGAGUCAUUUGAUAUUCAAGGGGAGUAGUUGGUAAAAGCGAGGCUAUGACUAACUCGUGUAAUGCUAGUAUGACGGAAGUAGAAGAAGAAAAUUAGUUCCAAAUAUACUUGCAACACUUGAAUGCUAGGGAGCAUUGACCGGCUAAAAUAUUGAUGAAAAAUCUGCUAUUUCGAGGCUACAUAAUUUUAAGGAUUCAAGAACAGAGUCAUAAAUAAUAAAUUCAUAAAUAUUUAAUCGAUAUUUCUUGUAAUUUAUACUGAUUAUGGAAUAAAAUCAAAUAAUGUUCGUUGAUAAAGUCAAUUAAAAUUUGAUCGAUACUUACUUUCAGAAAAUAAUAUAUCGAUAUACUUAUUGUGAAAAAUAAUUAAAAUCUUAAACCUUCAAUUUUUUUCACAAUCACCUCGAACAAGCUACAGAAAAUUGUUAAGAAUGAGAAGCGUAUUCGCGUAUUCGUGUUCACAUGAGCAUAAUGAAAGAUGAUCAUAAGAUUUGAAGAUUGAAACAACUAGAGAUUAGUGUUGGUUGAAAAAGCGCGAGUUUGGUGUGAAAGCAGCUUAUUAAGGUCGGGUCUAGCGUGGUGUUGCAGUGCAGCUUGCCUGGCAGCUUCAGUUCGAUGUUUACGCUCGUGCUUCGAACAUUUUUCUUCGGGGCUGUGCGCGAUUCGCGGCGUGAUUCCAUUCCAAUAUUUUGUCUUUCUUUCGUGGAUAAGAUUUUCCGUAUCCGAUUGUGCCAACGUGAUCCUCUGGCUUUACAAUGUUAUUUUCGGAUUUGUCUAUCCAAGGAAUCCCAUAUUGCAGGAUUAUAGAACUUAAAAUGAGAGUGUACAUGAGUGCUUCGGUAGCAGACGCAUAUUGGGAUCGCAUCGCAUCUAUUAACGAGAGAGGCAGGUGUUCUACUGUUCUGGGAAUUAUCUGGCGUUAUCGCAUGUUUAGUUCGCUUAUUUUUUUUUUAGCAAGAAUGAGAAAAAUUAAAUCCGAGAGAAAUGAAAAAAAUUCCAACGUUCACUGUAAAUGCAAAGAAUCAAGUAAAGCAUUUUCAAGAAAUGGAUAAUUGUGUCUAAUUAUCGAAACAAAAUAUAUCUAAUAUUAUCGAGGCACUGUGUACUGGUAUACUGGUGAAACGUGCGAUCGAACAAAAAUAUUAAAAAUUAUAUAUAUAUUUAAUAAUAUGAGAACAUUAAAACUAGGGUGGUGCAAUGAACGAGAUAAAUACCCGGUAGAGUCUGAAAGCGCAAGACUACCAGUUUUGCAGCAUUAAUUAACCGAAGAACUGGUUAUGCGUUCAAGACUAGAUUCCGUUGGCGAGGUUAUCGCAAAGUACCUAGACUGUCGAGUUGAUAUUAGUGAUACAAAGCGAUCGAAAACAACUAGUUAUUUUCAGUCAUUUUAUUCUCUUUUUCCUUAAACUUUCCUUAAAUGUUUUUAUUUCUUGAAUUGAUGUAUACUUAUUUGCCACAAUGUUUGAAAAAUUUCAUAGAAAAUUUUAGCAAUAUAAUAUAUGCUUAUAUAUAAUCCUUUAUAUAUUUUUUUUAAACAUUAUAAUAAACUAGAAUUGAUCAUAAAAAUUAUAAAAAUAAAGAAUCAAAUGAUUGUGAUAAAUCUGAAAGUAGAUACAGGAUUUAUAAAAUAUUAACUCUAUUUGUUAUAUUAAUUUAGAAAAAUGUUUAAAUAGUUAAAUUAUGUAAUAUGCAUAUAUUGAAUAUAUAUUUAAUAUAUAAUUAGAAUAUAUUAAAUAUCGUAAUAUGUGUAUAUUUUCAGUUUCUAAAUUUGUUCCAAUAUUUUUAUAUCAAUUGCAUAUUUAUAGUAAUGAUACUUUAAAAAGUUUUGUACAGUACAUAUGUUGUCUUUAUAAAUCUUUUUUAUUAAUAUAAAUAUUAAAUAUUUUCUUCAAUUACUUAGCACAAUUGAAAUAUGACAGUUUGAAGUAAUUGCCUGGUUCUCAUAUUUAUCCAGGAAAAGGAAAUUUAUCUGGCGUUGGAUGCAGCGAAAGUCGCUCGAGAAAAAAGCUCGUUAAAUUAUAGUUUUUAUAGAACAGAUAAAAAUCGAUAAUCGCGUUCUGGGUAUACUUUAUAGGCUCGCGCAAGCUAUAAUUUCCCGCGAUAGGCAACUGGCGUUUGCAAUAAGAUAUAAAGUAAGAAUAUUCGCUGGUUUCCUCUGUUUCCACCUCGUAGGAAGCAAUUAUUGUCAAAUUAAUCUUGGCAAUGGACUCGUCGGCGUGGCGCACAUUCGAGCUGAGAGCAUAAGUGCACUCGCCAUUGUCUCGUCGACCAACUUAUUCUGAACUUCUUACGACUUUACAAUUGAGGUGUUAUAAAUAGUAAAGAAUGAGAAAUUCUCAAGAAAACUUGAAAUAUAUAGUUGAAACAAUAGAGAAAUGAAAUAUUUCUAUGAAUUAAUGUAAUAUAUAAUAUAACAUGUAAAUUAUAAACAAAUAGUAUUUAGUAUUUACAAUUAGAUUCGAUGGGAAUAAAAUAUUUAUUUUUAAUUAUAACGCAAUGAGGAUUGAAAAUGAUUAAGUUUUAUUUUUUAUUUCUUAUUCGUUGGACAUUGAAAAUAGAUUAAAUUUUUCAUACGUUAUGAGGAAAAAGUACGGAAAUAUAAAUUUAUAAAAAUUUUAAUUAAAAUAAAAAUUAUUAUAUAAAUAAUUAAAAUUAUAUUUUUAUAAAAAAUUAUUAAUGAUGAUUGAGAGAAACUUGAGAGAAGACAAAAAAAAUUAACAAAAGACAAAGAGAUGUGGAAACUUCAUUGGUAGGAAUUUAUGAUGCAUUGUUCGAUAUAUUAUCAUCGUGGAUUUAAGAAUAAUUCCCUUUCAGAUACGAAAUAUGUAAAAAUUAUAUACAUAAUAUGCAUAGAAUAAACAAUACAUAAAUAUGUAUUGUGCAAAACAUAUAUAAUAAUGUACAAUAAUGUACAAAAUAAAAAAUAUAAUUUUAA